AGUGAACGCUGGCGGUAGGCCUAACACAUGCAAGUCGAACGGCAGCACAGUAAGAGCUUGCUCUUACGGGUGGCGAGUGGCGGACGGGUGAGGAAUACAUCGGAAUCUACUUUUUCGUGGGGGAUAACGUAGGGAAACUUACGCUAAUACCGCAUACGACCUACGGGUGAAAGCAGGGGAUCUUCGGACCUUGCGCGAUUGAAUGAGCCGAUGUCGGAUUAGCUAGUUGGCGGGGUAAAGGCCCACCAAGGCGACGAUCCGUAGCUGGUCUGAGAGGAUGAUCAGCCACACUGGAACUGAGACACGGUCCAGACUCCUACGGGAGGCAGCAGUGGGGAAUAUUGGGCAAUGGGGGAAAGCCUGAUCCAGCCAUACCGCGUGGGUGAUGAAGGCGUUCGGGUUGGAAAGCCCUUUUGUUGGGAAAGAAAAGCAGCAGGUUAAUACCGCGCUGUUCUGACGGUACCGAAAGAAUAAGCACCGGCUAACUUCGUG
rnacentral:rRNA from 1 species